UGGUUCUGGUGCCUAAGAUGUACAUUAGUUGGACCACACCAACCAGCCUUGCACGACCGUUCUGAGUAAUUGAGAGGAGUGUCUUCCUAAGUCACUAAGUUAUCCAGGCUGACUUGAACCUAAGAUCGUCCUGCCUCAGCCUUCCAGAGUGCUGGGAUUAUAGGGUUUGAAGCACAGUAGGUCUCUGCAAAUAUUUAUUAAAUGAAUGCACAUGUAUUCAAACCCAGGAGAUGGAGGAGAAAGAUCAGAGGGAGGAUUUGAUAAACAGAAGGCUUCUAAGAAACAGCUUCCAACUCAAAUCAGUCCUUAAAAAUUUUUUAUUUUAUUGUACUAAGAACACUUAACAUGAGAUCUACCCUCUUAACAAAUUUUAAAGUGAAUUUCAAAUUAUUAAAUCGAAAGAUGAUUAAAAAAACAGUUGAAAAGGCACUCAAUAUUCACUCGCUACCUUGGAAACGUGUUAAUUAUCAUUAUCAUAUCAUGUGACUGCUUCGGAUUAAGCGUCUGAGCUGGGCUAAGCACGGAGCUGAGAGCUUUGCACCUAUUCGCUUGUCUGGGCCUCCCGGGAGCCUGGCGUGCAGGUUCUGCCCCCUCCCUCGUCAGAGUGGAGACAAUGGAGGCUGCAGAAGCCUUUCUCCCACUACCACCCUGCCAGGUGCUGCCUCGGCUGAGCAAUGGG
rnacentral:lncRNA from 1 species